rnacentral:tRNA from 1 species
GGGGUUGUGGCUCAGCGGUAGAGCUCACUUCACGCGUGCGAGGCCCUGGGUUCGAUCCUCAGCACCACA